CCACAUCUUUGUACCUUUGUUGCUUGUUCGUUUUUUUCUGAUUUCUCUUUCGUUGCUUUUUCGAAAUACCAUUGUUGU
rnacentral:ribozyme from 11 species